AAUUCAUGGUGAGGGCACCUUCUCAGUGAGUCUUUGUAUCUCUCCCAUGCAUCAUAAAGAGUUUCAAAGUCCAUCUGAACAAACGAAGAGAUAUCAUUACAUCAUUU
rfam:Gossypium arboreum cultivar AKA8401 contig_506_13, whole genome shotgun sequence.